CACGUAGUUAGCCGGGGCUUCUUGGUCGGGUACCGUCCGCGGCUCUCGCGAACCGUGUUUCUUCCCCGCUGACAGAGCUUUACGCGCCGAAACGCUUCUUCACUCACGCGGCGUCGCUGCAUCAGGGUUUCCCCCAUUGUGCAAUAUUCCCCACUGCUGCCUCCCCGUAGGAGUUUGGGCCGUGUCUCAGUCCCAAUGUGGCCGUCCGCCCUCUCAGGCCGGCUACUGAUCGUCGCCUUGGUGGGCCGUUACCCCGCCAACCAGCUAAUCAGACGCGGGUCCAUCCCGUACACCGGAGUUUUCAAGAAAGGACAUGCGUCCCCUUCUGUUAUGCGGUAUUAGCACCUGUUUCCAGGUGUUACUCCCCCGGUAACGGGGCAGGUUCCCCACGCGUUACUCACCCGUCCGCCACUAACGGCCCGCGCCUUCCGGGUCUGGUAAACCACUCCCCUUCCGCCGUCUCGGCCCCCGUUCGACCUUGCAUGUGUUAGGCACGCCGCCACGUCGUUCAGUCCCUGACGCCAGGACUCAAACUCUA
rnacentral:rRNA from 1 species